CCUACGGGUGGCAGCAGUGGGGAAUAUUGCACAAUGGGGGGAACCCUGAUGCAGCGACGCCGCGUGAGUGAAGAAGUAAUUCGGUAUGUAAAGCUCUAUCAGCAGGGAAGAAAGUGACGGUACCUGAAAAAGAAGCUCCGGCUAACUACGUGCCAGCAGCCGCGGUAAUACGUAUGGAGCAAGCGUUAUCCGGAUUUACUGGGUGUAAAGGGAGAGUAGGUGGCAGAGCAAGUCUGAAGUGAAAACCCAAGGCUCAACUAUGGGAAUGCUUUAGAAACUGCCCGGCUAGAGUGCAGGAGAGGCAAGUGGAAUUCUUAGUGUAGCGGUGAAAUGCGUAGAUAUUAGGAGGAACACCAGUGGCGAAGGCGGCUUGCUGGACUGUAACUGACACUGAGGCUCGAAAGCGUGGGGAGCAAACAGGAUUAGAUACCCCAGUAGUC
rnacentral:rRNA from 1 species